rnacentral:rRNA from 1 species
UACGUAGGGUGCAAGCGUUGCUCGGAAUCACUGGGCGUAAAGAGCACGUAGGCGGAUUGCUAAGUCAGGGGUGAAAUCCUGGAGCUCAACUCCAGAACUGCCUUUGAUACUGGGAAUCUUCGAGUCCGGGAGAGGUGAGUGGAACUGCGAGUGUAGAGGUGAAAUUCGUAGAUAUUCGCAAGAACACCAGCGGCGAAGGCGGCUCUCUGGCCCGGUACUGACGCUGAGGUGCGAAAGCGUGGGGAGCAAACAGG